UCCCAAUUCUGGUAUGGUUUUCAUUUUCCAAUGUUGUAAUUACCUAGUGACAUCAGGUCUAAAUAUUGGAGACCCAGCAAGAAUGAAAAAAAAUAUUUUGUAAUAUCAAGGGUUUUUGUUUUGACUUUUUUGGUAAACCUGUCCUCAAAUAGGACAUACCCAGGAUAUUUCACAUUUCACAUUGUUUUUAUCUAUCAGUAAUGAUGGGUUUUUCCACCUUAGGUAAAAUUAUCAAAAAGUCGUAAUAUCUUCAGUUUAGUAACUAGUUCUUUGGAGUAGACAAAACUUAACACAUACCCUUUAAAUCUUAGUUUUCAAUCUGUUGUGAGUUUUUACUUCAAACUAAAAAUAAUUUUUAAAAUAAUUUUAAAAAUCUAACCAUAGACUUGAACACUAAAUGUUCAGUGGUUAAGAAUUUCAUAGUUUGAUUUUGUGCUAUAUUGAUACAUAUGUAUCUUUUUAUUGGUUUUAAAUGUAUGGACCAUUAAUAUCCUCCAGUGACUAUUUGCAAUAUGUUGCUGAAUUGGUUCAAACGAGAGACUAAUCCGGGACUCCUGUGUGGCUCAGUCAGCUAGGCAUCGGAUUCUUGAUCUCAGCUCAUGUCUUGGGCUCAGGUCUUGAGCUCAGGGUCAUGAGUCCUGGAGUCUCCUGAAAAAAGGGGGGUGGAGAGAGACUUAUCAGCUUUUGCUACACCUUUCAUGAUUUUAUUCAAUUUUUUAUUUAAUUAAAUUUUGAUUUUAUUUACUUAAGUUCUGUUUUGUAAGGUUAAAUAAUCCUGGUUGCCGGAGUUUCUGAUUAUUGCACACGGAAGUUCUGCUUUACCUUCAACCACAGUUUUGCCUUCACUGGCCGUCUUAAUUACAUAUUCAAAGUAAGAUGAGCAACACUGAGGUUGGGCCUCACUUAGCUAAUGAGAUUGGACUGAAUCAUGGCCCAGGGAGAGCUCUCUGGAUCCCUAAAACAGCCACAUCUACACGCAUUUGAAGAAGCUUGCAUUCUUUGAUCUCAUUUGUUUACACUUCUCAGUGGGAUUUGAUUUGAAGGAAAAAGUUCUGCUGCUUCAAAUUUUUUAAAUGUUCUUCAAAACAUUCUGGGCCAAAAUGUGGCAUAUCAUUAAUACUUACGUAACUUUUUUUUUUUAACCUGAAUCUUCUUUCAGUACAUAUGACUCUUCUUUCAGUACAAAGUUUUCAAUGAAUUGUGGUUUUUUUCUGCAAUAGGCUU
rnacentral:lncRNA from 12 species